rnacentral:ncRNA from 2 species
AUUAAAAAUUAAAUAAAAGGUCAUACAAAAGCCGAAAGGCUGAGUGCGGGGAAUCCGGUGGGAAUCCGGAGCUGUGCCGCAACUGUAUGGGGAGUCCCGCCAUAGCAGUUCUCUCACAAGGAUAUGACGGGAUGACGAACUAAGUCAGGGUGCCGCCUGUUUUUGACCAUCCAA